rnacentral:rRNA from 1 species
ACUGCUCAGUAACACGUGGAUAACCUGCCCUUGGGUCCGGCAUAACCCCGGGAAACUGGGGAUAAUUCCGGAUAACGCACAUAUGCUGGAAUGCUUUAUGCGUAAAAUGGAUUCGUCUGCCCAAGGAUGGGUCUGCGGCCUAUCAGGUAGUAGUGGGUGUAAUGUACCUACUAGCCAACAACGGGUACGGGUUGUGAGAGCAAGAGCCCGGAGAUGGAUUCUGAGACAUGAAUCCAGGCCCUACGGGGCGCAGCAGGCGCGAAAACUUUACAAUGCGGGAAACCGUGAUAAGGGGACACCGAGUGCCAGCAUCAUAUGCUGGCUGUCCAGGUGUGUAAAAUACACCUGUUAGCAAGGGCCGGGCAAGACCGGUGCCAGCCGCCGCGGUAACACCGGCGGCCCGAGUGGUGAUCGUGAUUAUUGGGUCUAAAGGGUCCGUAGCCGGUUUGGUCAGUCCUCCGGGAAAUCUGACGGCUUAACCGUUAGGCUUUCGGGGGAUACUGCCAGGCUUGGAACCGGGAGAGGUAAGAGGUACUACAGGGGUAGGAGUGAAAUCUUGUAAUCCCUGUGAGACCACCUGUGGCGAAGGCGUCUUACCAGAACGGGUUCGACGGUGAGGGACGAAAGCUGGGGGCACGAACCGGAUUAGAUACCCGGGUAGUCCCAGCCGUAAACGAUGCUCGCUAGGUGUCAGGCAUGGCGCGACCGUGUCUGGUGCCGCAGGGAAGCCGUGAAGCGAGCCACCUGGGAAGUACGGCCGCAAGGCUGAAACUUAAAGGAAUUGGCGGGGGAGCAC